rnacentral:rRNA from 1 species
GUGAACGCUGGCGGCGUGCUUAACACAUGCAAGUCGAACGGUAACAGGAAGUAGCUUGCUACUUUUCUGACGAGUGUCGCACGGUUGAGUAAUAUAUAGUUAAUGUGCCUCGAAGACUGGGUUAUCCACUGGAAACGGUGCUUAAUACUAGAUACACCUUUUUAACAUAAGUUACAUCGGGAAAUGUCUUUUCGCUUCUAGAUCCGACUAUAUCCUAUCAGUUAGUUGGUGAGGUAAUGGCUCACCAAGGCAAUGACGGGUAGCGGUUCUGAGAGGAUGAUCCGCCACACUGGGACUGAGACACGGACCAGACUCCUACGGGAGGCAGCAGUGAGGAAUAUUGCACAAUGGGGGGAACCCUGAUGCAGCAACGCCGCGUGGAGGAUGACGCAUUUCGGUGUGUAAACUCCUUUUAUAUGUCAAGAAAAUGACGGUAGCAGAUGAAUAAGCACCGGCUAACUCCGU